UACGUAGGGCGCAAGCGUUGUCCGGAAUUAUUGGGCGUAAAGAGCUCGUAGGUGGUUUGUUACGUCUGCUGUGAAAACCUAGGGCUUAACCCUGGGCCUGCAGUGGAUACGGGCAGACUAGAGGUAGGUAGGGGAGAAUGGAAUUCCUGGUGUAGCGGUGAAAUGCGCAGAUAUCAGGAGGAACACCGGUGGCGAAGGCGGGUCUCUGGGCCGAUACUGACGCUGAGGAGCGAAAGCGUGGGGAGCGAACAGG
rnacentral:rRNA from 1 species